GUUAAUUGAUGACCUACUUCAUGUAUAUGUAAUAACAAGCUUUUAUAAACGCGACAGCAAGUUUCUGUAGCUUCAUAUUGUCUCGUUACAAUUUACACCAUGAAAACAAGUGUUGCUGUUAUCAUUCUGUUCGUUUGCCUAUCGGGCAUUACCAUAAACGAAACCGAAGGGAUCAAAAUAAAAUGUAGAUGGGGAGGAUGUCCGUUCAACAAAACCUGUUACCUCUGUUGUGACCACGUAAGGCAAGGCUGCAUUGGUGGAAAGUGUAGGGGAUUCCUAUGUGUAUGUGAUUGCCCUGCUGGAUAAAAGAGACAAUCCAAGAUAUUGAAAACAUAGGAAUCGAUGUUAAUGCGCGCUCAAUUUGAAAAUUGAUUUUAGUUCUAAGAUUAGGAACAGGAGAAGACUUCAUUAGUUACUUAAUUGUUUGUGAUCCUCUUUUUUUCAUACUACAAAUCAAAUAGAUUUGGGCUAAAGAACUUUUCUCUC